rnacentral:lncRNA from 1 species
UUCUUUGCACUCUCUAGACCCUCUCAAGCACACACAAAUUGCAGCUGAGUUCCAGAUUCGAGCAGAUUCAUACCUUCACACAAAAGAACGUUUCCAAUGAAGGACUUGGUGUUCCAACCUCCCAUAACAACAACUCUCUCGCGGAUUCACAAGUGGAAAGCUUGCAAAACCGUUGAGGAUUAUGAUGCUAUGAAACGAAGUAGCAAUGAUGCCUAGAUACACAUUUAGACGAUUUAGGUUUAAAGUGUUGUAUCAAUUUUGUUUGUUAUGUUAUGACAUGUUGUUAUUUGAAUUUUCCUUGUAAUGUUUGACAAUUUGAUUAUGAAAUGAAAAUGGUUAUUUUAAAUAUUGUC